rnacentral:rRNA from 1 species
GAUGAACGCUAGCGGCAGGCUUAACACAUGCAAGUCGAGGGGCAUCGAGAGUAGCAAUACUUGUCGGCGACCGGCGCAAGGGUGCGUAACACGUGAGCAACAUACCCGUUUCAGGAGGAUAACCGGAGGAAACUCUGCCUAAUACUCCAUGACAUCAUCAAACGGCAUCGUUUGAUGAUUAAAGAUUUAUCGGAAACGGCUUGGCUCGCGGGACAUUAGCUCGUUGGUGAGGUAACGGCUCACCAAGGCCACGAUGUCUAGGGGUUCUGAGAGGAAGGUCCCCCACACUGGAACUGAGACACGGUCCAGACUCCUACGGGAGGCAGCAGUGAGGAAUAUUGGACAAUGGUCGGAAGACUGAUCCAGCCAUGCCGCGUGAAGGUUACUGUCCUAUGGAUUAUUAAACUUCUUUUGUAUGAGAGCAAUAAGGUGCACGGCGUGCUACCGAUGAGAGUAUCAUACGAAUAAGCAUCGGCUAAC